rnacentral:rRNA from 1 species
UACAGAGGGUGCAAGCGUUGUUCGGAAUUAUUGGGCGUAAAGGGCGCGUAGGCGGUGCGGUAAGUCUGCAGUGAAAUCUCUGGGCUCAACUCAGAGUCUGCUGUGGAAACUGCCGUGCUUGAGUGUGGGAGAGGUGAGUGGAAUUCCCGGUGUAGCGGUGAAAUGCGCAGAUAUCAGGAAGAACACCUAUGGCGAAGGCAGCUCUCUGGGACGGUACUGACGCUGAGACGCGAAAGCGUGGGGAGCGAACAGG